UCCGUUGUAGCGUAAUGGCUCCCAUUAUCGCCUCUCAUACGUAGUUUAUCAGCUCGGCGAUAGCUCAGGGUUCAAUUCCCUGUAACGGAA